AUUGAACGCUGGCGGCAUGCCUUACACAUGCAAGUCGAACGGUAACAGGUCUUCGGAUGCUGACGAGUGGCGAACGGGUGAGUAAUACAUCGGAACGUGCCUAGUAGUGGGGGAUAACUACUCGAAAGAGUGGCUAAUACCGCAUGAGAUCUACGGAUGAAAGCAGGGGAUCGCAAGACCUUGUGCUACUAGAGCGGCCGAUGGCAGAUUAGGUAGUUGGUGGGAUAAAUGCUUACCAAGCCGACGAUCUGUAGCCGGUCUGAGAGGACGAUCAGCCACACUGGGACUGAGACACGGCCCAGACUCCUACGGGAGGCAGCAGUGGGGAAUUUUGGACAAUGGGCGAAAGCCUGAUCCAGCAAUGCCGCGUGCAGGAUGAAGGCCUUCGGGUUGUAAACUGCUUUUGUACGGAACGAAAAGCCCUGGGUUAAUACCCUGGGGUCAUGACGGUACCGUAAGAAUAAGCACCGGCUAACUACGUGCCAGCCGCCGCCGUAA
rnacentral:rRNA from 1 species